rnacentral:rRNA from 1 species
ACCGGAGGAAGGUGGGGAUAGACGUCAAGUCCUCAUGGCCUUUAUGCCCAGGGUUGCACACGUCCUACAAUGGGAUGGUACAGAGCGAUGCGAGACCGCGAGGUGGAGCAAAUCGCAGAAAGCUUCCCUCAGUUCGGAUUGCAGGCUGCAACUCGCCUGCAUGAAGCUGGAAUCGCUAGUAAUCGCGCAUCAGCUAUGGCGCGGUGAAUGUGUUCCUGAGCCUUGUACACACCGCCCGUCAAGUCAUGGGAGCUGGUAGUACCCGAAGUCCGCUUAGCCAACCGCAAGGAGGCGGCGGCCGACGGUAAGACCGGUGACUGGGACUAAGUCGUAACAAGGUAACCGUA